rnacentral:rRNA from 1 species
CCCUUAGAUGUUCUGGGCAGCACGCGCGCUACAAUGGUCUUCGCAAACGGAUGCAUUCUCGAAGGAGAAUGCCAAUCUUGGAAUCGAUGCCUUGGUCGGGACAGUUGCUUGCAAUUUUUCGACUCGAACCAGGAAUUCCUUGUAAUCGUGAUUCAUCACAUCACGAUGAAUACGUCCCUGCCCUUUGUACACACCGCCCGUCGCUCCUACCGAUCGAAGAGUUAGGUGAAUUGUUUUGAUCGAUAAGAUUUGACUAUGGUCAACUCUCGUUGUGAAAUUCUGUGAAUCUGACUGUUUAGAGGAAGGAAAAGUCGUAACA